UCGCUAGUAAUCGCGGAUCAGCAUGCCGCGGUGAAUACGUUCCCGGGCCUUGUACACACCGCCCGUCACACCACGAGAGUUGGCAACACCCGAAGUCGGUGAGGUAACCUUUUCGGAGCCAGCCGCCGAAGGUGGGGCCAAUGAUUGGGGUGAAGUCGUAACAAGGUAGCCGUAUCGGAAGGUGCGGCUGG
rnacentral:rRNA from 1 species